AUUCAUAAGUUAGAUUCUAAAUACUUGAUUAAAUUUUAAUUUUUAAUUUAAGUUCAAAUUAAAAUUUAAAAUUAUAUAUUUAAUUUUUAAUUUUUAACUCAUAUUUUAAUUAAAAAAAUUUAAAAAAAUAAAUUUAAUCCGAAUAAAUAUUCAUUCCGUCUGUAUUCAACUUCCAAUCUGACCUGCUAGGCCGGAUUGAAAAAAGAGACGAUUGGGGAAUUUCCAUUCCACUCGGGAAUCGGAAUUGGAAUGGAACUCCCACGUACCAAACACCCACAAACGGAUUCACCUAUUUUAAUUUUCAUUCCAGGGUGAAAAAGAAGCGAACCAAACACGUCCUAAGUAUCGACUCCGUAGCUAAGAACAUAAUUAUAGAUCUUUAAGAAUUGCACAAGUUUCGUCCUAAUUACUCGCAUGGACUAGUAUAAUGAAGUUAAGAACUAACAUUAUUGGGAAUAGAUUCAAGUUUAUUUCGAAAGCCAAAAUAUCAUAUAUUUAUUAAAAUAUAUUCAACCUCUGUUGGUAGAAGAAUUCGACUACACUUCUUUUUCUUUUCUUUUUUUUUUUUUUGAGAGAGAAAGAUAGCACGUUACCUACUUCAUUCAUUAAAAAAAUAAAUUAAGCUACAAGAGUGAUGUAAAGAGACCUCCAAAUCAAACCAAAAAAAGAACAUUUAAAUUCAAAAAAAAGAUUUUAAUUCAGGGCUAGGAUACACUCGUUUAAACACGUCAUUCUCCUCUCACUAUAGUAUCAAACGUCUAAUCGAGUUAAUAGCUAGUAAGGGAGCAGCAUUGACCAACCUUAAAAUAAUGGCGUUUCUUACUGUCCAGAUGACCCACUAACUGGCUGUCAGUCCAGUCAUUAUGUUUCCAGCAGACUGAGCACUAUUCCUUGCCAUCCACUUAUCCUAUACGUAUCUCACAUCAUCUCUCAGGUUUCCAACCUGAACCCCUUCCACAACCAUGACAAUCA
rnacentral:lncRNA from 1 species